rnacentral:rRNA from 1 species
AGUGCAUACUUUUGACACGGUGAAACCGCGAAUGGCUCAUUAAAUCAGUUAAGGUUCCUUAGAUCGUACGGGCCGCUUCGGCCUUACUUGGAUAACUGUGGUAAUUCUAGAGCUAAUACAUGCACGCAAGCUCCGACCCGGUCGCAAGCAGGGGAAGAGCGCUUUUAUUAGACCAAGACCAACGGGGUCGUCGUCCUCCGCGGCGGCGGCUUCGCAAACUCUGGUGACUCUGGAUAACUUUGUGCCGAUCGCACCGGCCCCCAA